rnacentral:misc_RNA from 1 species
AAGUCGUGACGGUGAACGUUAAACCCCCCUGUGAAUUUUAUCGCAGCUCUUGCAGAUGCCGGUAAGUUUGCAAUCCCUGGUAAAUCAUUGUUGAACAGAUUUUGAUUCAGGGGGUUGUGUAAGGAAAACGCUUUACGAUCACUGGAGGCCGACACGGCCGGUGACCGGGCUUAUGCCCCCUAUAUUUACCCCACUACCUGAACUUGGGUCGCAGGAAACUGCUUCCCCUUAAAUCUGAACAACUGUUAACAAUGGAUAUCUUGGUUCUC